CGUAGGUGGCAAGCGUUAUCCGGAAUUAUUGGGCGUAAAGAGGGAGCAGGCGGCAGCAAGGGUCUGUGGUGAAAGACUGAAGCUUAACUUCAGUAAGCCAUAGAAACCGGGCAGCUAGAGUGCAGGGAGAGGAUCGUGGAAUUCCAUGUGUAGCGGUGAAAUGCGUAGAUAUAUGGAGGAACACCAGUGGCGAAGGCGACGAUCUGGCCUGCAACUGACGCUCAGUCCCGAAAGCGUGGGAGCAAAUAGGAUU
rnacentral:rRNA from 1 species